CGGUCUUUACAAGCGACUCGUGGGCGUCAAUACUGGGCUGAGUUUGUGGCGCGCUUAGUGAUGGGAUGGCCCUGUGCAGGACGCCGACACGAAAAGAUGAAGAGUUCAAUCCGUGCUGUCUGAACUCACAGUGUAGCAGGCGAGAUAGACGGGAAGAUCGGUAGGGUGGGAGAUGCCGGAAAGGCUUCCCGUGAGACUGGAUAAGAAAUCAAAAAUCUGGUGAAAUUGCCGGCAAGAGGGAGUUAAGGACAUUCCAGGCAGAGGCAAGUUGGUCCUUGCUGGCUGAUCCAGCUUCCCCGUCAGCAUAUGGUGAGCAGUUCGGUGAGAGGACCACACUUCCAAUACUGGCAGAUUCCUAAGAUGAGGACACAGCAUCCUGGGCCACUGUCACUAAUACAAAUUUGCCUCUGGAGGGACUCUACGGAAGAUAAUUCCCCUGAAAUUUGGAGAGUUGAAUUAAGCUAGGACUGAUUCUGGCUGGAAUUUGUGGUGGCUACGUACCCUAGAGGGCCUCAAGGAAACCCACGGUUCAAGACAGCCCUGACAGAUUCUGGAGUCUAGAACAGAAAUGGAUUUGAACAUGGGCAAGGCCAACCACCCAGUUCACGGCCUGUGUACAGCAAAGAUUACGUUACAGCCUGAGAGCUAAGCCUGGAAGCUCUUUCAUCCAUCCGUUUGUCCAUCUAUCCAUCCAUCUGCUCAUCCAUCCCUCCAUCUGCUCAACAAACGUUAGAGAAUCAAUCCUUGUGUCAGAUACUGGGGCUGCCCUCAAGGAGCUUUUAUAGAGUUCAGGGUACAGCCAGGUGGGGGAGACAGAUCACUAUAAAAACCUACCACUAUAAUCCAAAGGACAAGAGCAAAAAUAGUAAAGAGGAGAGAAGACCCAAAUUUGCCUGGUGGGUCAGAGAGGGCUUUCUAGAAGAGGUAAAAAAUCUUCGGGGCUAUCACUUCACCUUGCCUGGUGGAUAAAGGGAGGACUUUCCAGAUACAGUGGACAGAAUGUGCAGAGGCAGGAGCCAUGAGUGGCAGAGGCAGGGGAGGGACUGCAGAGACAGGUUGGAGCCAAAGCACGUGGCACUGGAGCCAUAGCCAAAGGAACAAACUGUGAGACCUGGGACUUGAAUUUGGAGGUGGUGAAAAGUGACAAGGUCUUCACAGAAGAGUGAUUUUUUCAACUUAGGGAAGGCUGACCCCAGACCAAUGCUGCCAAAGUGUGGUCUGUGGGCUGUUAGCAGUUCGUGACGAUGUAAGUACAGGAAUUGAGAUUAAGCAUUUAGAACACCUACAGCACUUUGAUAGUCAUUUUACUUUUUAAAUUUUGAGCUGGCAUUUUAUAUGCCUGGUUUUUUUUUGUUUUUGUUUUUUUAUUUUUUUUGAGACAGUCUCGCUCUGUCGCCCAGGCUGGAGUGCAGUGGCGCGAUCUCUGCUCACUGCAAGCUCCGCCUCCCGGGUUCACGCCAUUCUCCUGCCUCAUCCUCCCAAGUAGCUGGGACUGCAGGCGCCUGCCGCCUCGCCCAGCUAAUUUUUUGUAUUUUUAAUAGAGACGGGGUUUCACCAUGUUAGCCAGGAUGGUCUCAAUCUCCUGAUCUCGUGAUCUGCCCGCCUUGGCCUCCCAAAAUGCUGGGAUUACAGGUGUGAGCCACCACGCCCAGCCUUAUUCUCUUUUUCUAAUAGUUGCACUUUAUCAUAUUUUACAAAUGUGUGAGUCUGCUAUGGAUUAGAAAUUAAUAAGAGAUUUUGCCACAGAUAGUUUGAGAAGCCCAGCACUGCCACUCAACAAAUGCUGGUGCAUUCAGAUGGUGAAAUAUUCUGCAGCUAUUAAAGGAGUUAAAACUGCCUCCACUUACCUGGAGGCCCAUCUGUGACACCUUUUUAGGUUAAAAGGAAAAGAAAAACUUGCUUAGGACUGAAUAUGAGCGGUUGCAAUUUGUAACAAUGAUGUAUAUAUACAUAUACAUUUUCAUGUAUUUGUAUGAACAUAAAAGUAUUGAAGGAUAUUCAUCAAACUGCUAAAAGGGUUGCUUCAGAGUAACGGACUCGGAGAAGGCAGAUUAAUUUUCUCUUAAUGGAACUCUGUAUUGUAUCACUUGUAAAAAUAAGCAUGUGUUAUCUUUAUGAUAAAAAAGUAAAAACCUAAAAAA
rnacentral:lncRNA from 1 species